ensembl:miRNA
AGUAGGGAUGGGGUUUCACCAUGUUGGCCAGGCUGGUCUCAAACUCCUGACCUCAAGUGAUCCACCCUCC